rnacentral:rRNA from 1 species
GUGUGGUAGGGGCAGAGGGAAUUCCCGGUGUAGCGGUGAAAUGCGUAGAUAUCGGGAAGAACACCAGUGGCGAAGGCGAUCUGCUGGGCCAUAACUGACGCUCAUGGACGAAAGCCAGGGAGCGAAAGGGAUUAGAUACCCCUGUAGUCCUGGCCGUAAACGAUGAACAAUAGGUGUCGGGGGAAUCGACCCCCUCGGUGUCGUAGCCAACGCGUUAAGUGUUCCGCCUGGGGAGUACGCACGCAAGUGUGAAACUCAAAGGAAUUGACGGGGGCCCGCACAAGCGGUGGAGUAUGUGGUUUAAUUCGAUGCAACGCGAAGAACCUUACCAGGGUUUGACAUCCUGCGAACCCCUGAGAAAUCGGGGGCUGCCUUCGGGAACGCAGUGACAGGUGGUGCAUGGCUGUCGUCAGCUCGUGUCGUGAGAUGUUGGGUUAAGUCCCGCAACGAGCGCAACCCACGUCUUUAGUUGCCAGCAUUCAUUUGGGCACUCUAGAGAGACCGCCGGUGAUAAACCGGAGGAAAGUGUGGAUGACGUCAAGUCAUCAUGCCCCGUACAUCCUGGGCUACACACGUACUACAAUGCUACGGACAAAGAGCAGCGAUCCCGCGAGGGUUAGCAAAUCUCAUAAACCGUGGCUCAGUUCAGAUCGUAGGCUGCAACUCGCCUACGUGAAGGAGGAAUCGCUAGUAAUCGCAGGUCAGCAUACUGCGGUGAAUACGUUCCCGGGCCUUGUACACACCGCCCGUCACACCAUGGAAGUUGGCCACGCCCGAAGCCGUUACUCCAACCUUUGUGGAGAAGGACGUCGAAUGUGGGGCUGAUGACUGGGGUGAAGUCGUAACAAGGUAGCCGUACCGGAAGGUGCAGCUGGAUCACCUCCUAA